GACGAAAGUCUGACGGAGCAACGCCGCGUGAGUGAUGACGGCCUUCGGGUUGUAAAGCUCUGUUAAUCGGGACGAAAGGCCUUCUUGCGAAUAGUUAGAAGGAUUGACGGUACCGGAAUAGAAAGCCACGGCUAACUACGUGCCAGCAGCCGCGGUAAUACGUAGGUGGCAAGCGUUGUCCGGAAUUAUUGGGCGUAAAGCGCGCGCAGGCGGAUAGGUCAGUCUGUCUUAAAAGUUCGGGGCUUAACCCCGUGAUGGGAUGGAAACUGCCAAUCUAGAGUAUCGGAGAGGAAAGUGGAAUUCCUAGUGUAGCGGUGAAAUGCGUAGAUAUUAGGAAGAACACCAGUGGCGAAGGCGACUUUCUGGACGAAAACUGACGCUGAGGCGCGAAAGCCAGGGGAGCGAACGGGAUUAGAUACCCCGGUAGUCCUGGCCGUAAACGAUGGGUACUAGGUGUAGGAGGUAUCGACCCCUUCUGUGCCGGAGUUAACGCAAUAAGUACCCCGCCUGGGGAGUACGACCGCAAGGUUGAAACUCAAAGGAAUUGACGGGGGCCCGCACAAGCGGUGGAGUAUGUGGUUUAAUUCGA
rnacentral:rRNA from 1 species